GACGAACGCUGGCGGCGUGCUUAACACAUGCAAGUCGAGCGGUAAGGCCCUUUCGGGGGCACACGAGCGGCGAACGGGUGAGUAACACGUGGGUGACCUGCCCUCAGCUCUGGGAUAAGCCUGGGAAACCGGGUCUAAUACCGGAUAUGACUCCAUGACGCAUGUUGUGGGGUGGAAAGCCUUGUGCGGCUGAGGAUGGGCCCGCGGCCUAUCAGCUUGUUGGG
rnacentral:rRNA from 1 species